CAUGACCGCAGAGAAUGCUACCAGGGGAAAAUUUGACUGAUUCUUCCACUAAAUAUUCCAAACAAAAGGCACUUCUAGAGGCACUUGCAUCUGWCAGUUAAAGAUCUGAACAGGACUGGAAAGGUAUUAGUGACAGAAGAAAUUUSCCCCCACGCACAAACCCGUCAGUCCAACCCUGAGGUGAACUAAACAUCACUGAGAACAAAGAAGAGGAAUUGGAGCUUGCUAGACAUGACGAUUCUCAGG